AGAGUUUGAUCAUGGCUCAGGAUGAACGCUAGCUACAGGCUUAACACAUGCAAGUCGAGGGGAAACGACAUCGAAAGCUUGCUUUUGAUGGGCGUCGACCGGCGCACGGGUGAGUAACGCGUAUCCAACCUGCCCAUCACUUGGGGAUAACCUUGCGAAAGUAAGACUAAUACCCAAUGACGUCUCUAGAAGACAUCUGAAAGAGAUUAAAGAUUUAUCGGUGAUGGAUGGGGAUGCGUCUGAUUAGCUUGUUGGCGGGUAACGGCCACCAAGGCGACGAUCAGUAGGGGUUCUGACGAGGAAGGUCCCCCANAUUGGAACUGAGACACGGUCCAAACUCCUACGUGAGGCA
rnacentral:rRNA from 1 species